rnacentral:rRNA from 1 species
GGGAUUGCCCCAGUAACGGCGAGUGAAGCGGCAACAGCUCAAAUUUGAAAUCUGGCUCCUGGAGCCCGAGUUGUAAUUUGUAGAGGAUGCUUUUGAUGCGGUGCCUUCCGAGUUCCCUGGAACGGGACGCCAUAGAGGGUGAGAGCCCCGUCUGGUCGGAUGCCAAAUCUCUGUAAAGCUCCUUCGACGAGUCGAGUAGUUUGGGAAUGCUGCUCAAAAUGGGAGGUAUAUGUCUUCUAAAGCUAAAUACCGGCCAGAGACCGAUAGCGCACAAGUAGAGUGAUCGAAAGAUGAAAAGCACUUUGAAAAGAGGGUUAAAUAGUACGUGAAAUUGUUGAAAGGGAAGCGCCUAUGACCAGACUUGGGCCCGGUGAAUCAUCCAGCGUUCUCGCUGGUGCACUUUGCCGGGCACAGGCCAGCAUCAGUUUGUCUUGGGGGAAAAAGGCUUUGGGAACGUGGCUCCCUCGGGAGUGUUAUAGACCAUUGCAUAAUACCCUGGGACGGACUGAGGUUCGCGCAUCUGCAAGGAUGCUGGCGUAAUGGUCAUCAGCGACCCGUCUUGAAACACGGACCAAGGAGUCGUCUUCGUAUGCGAGUGUUCGGGUGUAAAACCCCUACGCGUAAUGAAAGUGAACGCAGGUGAGAGCUUCGGCGCAUCAUCGACCGAUCCUGAUGUUCUCGGAUGGAUUUGAGUAAGAGCAUACGGGGCCGGACCCGAAAGAAGGUGAACUAUUCCUGUAUAGGGUGAAGCCAGAGGAAACUCUGGUGGAGGCUCGCAGCGGUUCUGACGUGCGAAUCGAUCGUCAAAUAUGGGAAUGGGGGCGAAAGACUAAUCGA